GGGGGUUUCAAGCUGCAUGCUGAGGUCAAGACUCAAGUUCCUGAAGGUAGUUGAGUGCCGUUGUGUUCAGGAAAAGUUUCAUGCCUGUCUGUCAAGGUGAUUUUCUUUCAUGAAUGCUGGAGAGAGGGCUGAAUACCUAGCCAUACAGUUAAAAUACCAUAGUUCUAUUGUGCAUGAAGAACAACUGUCCAUUCCAACUCAAGAUGUAAUGGCGUGCUUGAAUGCAACUUUUUCUGGGGAGAAGAAAGGACAAGUCUUCGGGUUACUUCAGCAUAGAAGAGAACAUGGUGUACUGGUUGAAAUCUACACUGGUAACACAAUAACUUCUCAGUAGACCCUUAUGAUCAUCAGCAAGGAGUCCUUCAUAAGAAAUCGUACUCUGUUAUUUAUCCUGUUUGUUGGAGCAAUGAUUCAACUACCACAGUGAUGACUGCAGGCAUCACAACACUUGUUAGCUACCAUAGUUUCCAGUAAGCACAAAUGAAGAGGAGUUCUGCUUUGUUCUCCAAACACAGGAAGAAACCUUGCAACUGAUGUAAAAUUUUCACUUCUGUCUUUCUCUUUUCAGCCAUGUCAAAUACUAGUCCAGCUACUAUUUUCAGCACAACACAUCACAUGUUUACACCACAGGUUUUUGGGGAUUUUUUUUUAGCUAAAAUGAAUCUAGAUGUGAUAGAGCUAUGCUGGGAAGUCUCUUGUUCAUUUGUACUUGUGAAUACUGAGGAAUAACUGCAUCUCUAUGAACAGUUCCUUUAUCUUCUCUGUACAAGGUGGCGUUUCAUACUGUUUCUAGUUUCACCAGGAGAAAAAUCCAAACAGCUGAAAUUUGCCAUACUUACAUAUCUUUGGUUAAUAUUUGUAUAAAAAUCCAGCUAACAUAAUUAAAUCAUUUGACAUAUAACUUUUAUGGUGUCCUCCUUAACUUGCAUUACAUCUCCCUGUGGGAAACAUAAAGCAAUUUUUCAUUUAAUAGCUGGCACCAAUUAACAAUCUUUCCUGCUGCAUGGGGCUGUAAUGUGCAAGAUUUUGCUUGUAAGAAUACUUAUUAUUGCUGACAUAUAUGCAGUGAUCAUCACUA